UCAAGAGGGAUGCAACAUCCUGAGGAUGAGGACACAAAGCUAAGCUCAGCUUGCAACCUUACAUACCUCACAUCCAUGCCAGCUUCUUGGACAAGUCCUGGUUUUCUAGACAGACUUCCAUUUCUCAAGCUUUGCCACUGAAGACCUAAUUUGGACUGGCAUCCCAAUACUGUCUGUCAUCGCUGAUUUCUUCUUGGUGGAGGAUCAGAGUGUUGCUUUCACCUUUGUUUCCCAUCCUGAAGCAGUCUGGGAGUACCAGGAAGGAGAUUUCUUUCAGAUCUGACUCAGCAUGACCACACACCCCAGGAGCACUCCUGUUCGAUUUCAGUCACUCACAUAAGAAGUUCUCAUAUCCUCACUAGACCAAAUGUGUGUGAGCUGUACCCUCUGGUAAGCGUGUAGUUCAUAUAGCUUAAACAGCACUCUUCCAGCUGCUAGGUGUGCUGUAUCAGCUGGAGACAGCUCUCCUCAGGAGCUGGCAGGUAUGAUGCUGGACCUGAAGGUGCUUCAGAUGUUCCUGGGGUGCAGUGCAAGGCUGGGCAAUGUUCUCUGCAAGGCAGAUAGGGGUGAUAGACAUUUGUUUUGGUGGGGAUGCUGAGCCCUGCUGCUGCUAGUGCUGUGCUGACUCUAUGGACCCAAUUUUGAAUCAAGAUGCCUACACAUAAACCCUUCAAUUUGAGUUUCAAUUGCAAACCGGAUCCUUCCUUUCCCAGUUUGCAUUUCUUCUUUAAACAACAGCACCUGAGGAUGUUUACUAGACUUCUGAUGGGUCACAGUGUGAUGCUCCUUCUUUUAUUUUUGUUUGCAUUUCAGUCAUAACCUCAAAGCACACCUGCUCCACUCUCCUGUUUGGAGUAGGUGUUUUAGGUUUUCAGACUACGCGAGUAAGUUUCUUACACAUUCCUUUGCUUAGUAGAAGCCCCUCACCUUCAGUGUACUGAAUAAGGACUGUAAAGUCAGAAGAAAGCAAAAAAGGUUUAGCAGCUCAAACAGUGUUUCUGUUUUCUUUGGUUUUAAAAUGUAACCCCUGGUAAAGUUGUCUUUACAGUCUAUAUAUCAAAGCUCCAUAGGCUAACCACAUUCUUUAGAGGGUGAUGAUAUUUGUUAAGUUGGCAGAGCAGAAUGCCAGGACUGAAUUUCAGUUAAGCCUGUGACAAGAGGAUCCCAUAUUUUCUCCUGACUAAAAAAGGAAAAAAAAAACCAACAGGAAAAUAUGAUCUUUUUUCCCUGGUUUUCAUAUGAGCCCUUCACUAAGCAGCAGGUUUUGAACGGUAUUCUGCAUAUGGUAAAACCAUAUUCCUGUGCUGCUUAAUUAUAUGCUUUCAAUUUAUUUUCUCUGACUCUGCAGGCAAGUGCAUUACUGUGUGUUGUUACAUAAUACCCAGCCAUGUGGAAAAGGAACAGACACACCUUUGGCAAGUGACUGCAGAAGUCUCCAAAGGUUUUCACCCAUGUUUUCACAGAUGUCCUCUUAGAACCCAUCUAAUCCUCCACAUCAAGGUUUUAUAGAUUAUUUGCACUCACUGAGGCUGGUGCAGUAUGAAGCCAAGCAUGCAAAGACUGCCAGCUGGCCAGAAUAUUUGAUAAAUGUGAGAACAAAAAAAAUCCCACUCAUAGCAGCGAAAUGAUCUAUUCCUGGAACACCAGCUGGAUUGCUGUAAUAAGCUAUUAAACCAGUGUGGUAAAAUGAAACCCAGAUACACUAUGCAGAUUAUAUAGCAAGUCUAUUUCCUUGUAUAGCUUGGUUUCAUUACUUUAAUUUUAGAUUAUUGGUCACUUGCAAUGAUUAAAAGAUAUGAAAAAACUUGGCCUUUUUAUUCAUGAGUUUUGAACUAGAAAGCCCCAAAUUAAAACUAUAUAGGAUUGUGCGCCUGGCACCUUUAUCUAUCUGCUUCCAUUUCCAAUGACUCAGAGUGGCAGACUCUCUGGCAGACUUAUUUUACUAAGAAAUUGUAUCUCAGACCUGGAAAUGAGAUAAGUACUUAUAAAAAACAUUCUCAGAAAAACAAAAUCUCAAAUGCACUCCAAUGUAACACAAUAUUUCUUCUUACAUUAAAGAAUAAUUUAGAUAUCUAAAAGGGGAUGAAGAUUGAUAUCGAUGGCCAUGUGUAAUAGCACCAUCUUGUGAUCCUUGCCAAAAAAAAUAUUUUAUAUUUUAAUUGAAAACUCCACUCUGUACUAACUCAGGCAUUCUUAUUUUUCUGAGUCCAUAAUUAGCUUGGAUGUGAUAUAUGACAAUAAACUAAAAAUUCAACUAUAAACAUGACCCUAAUGGAAAUUAGUUGAAUGCCACAUUAAAAAUGAGCUAGGUUGAGAUAUGUGGGUUUUGUUUACAUUAUUUUACUUACUGAUUAAAAAAAGAGAAGUAGAACACCAAAGUUAGUUCUUCUAUCAUAAAAGAAUAAACAAGACAAGUAAACAAGCUUUUCUUGUUAGAUGUACUAUUUCUUCUCAUCAAAUCAUAUUGCAAAGGAUGCCUAAGAAGAGUAUCGCCAUCAGUAAAAGUAUCCUGAUUAAGUGUCUCAAUAGUUCUGUCUUUCAGUUACACACAACCAGGAUUUUGGGCUGUUGAUAUUUUGGUACUGUGAAGACUCAGACUAUAGCACUGCUGAUCUGAGGAUCACCAUCCGGACUGAUGUUUAUUAUGUCUAUACGAACUCCAGAUGAAAUGAGGUGAAACAAAUACCUGAUGGUAAUAACAGAAAGCAAACACAUCGCAUUUCCAAAUAAGAAAGGAAUGGUGCAUUAAGGGGUAGUUGUACAUAUGUUUAUAUGUUAUGUCCAAGCUAUUCAGAUAUACAUACUGGCCUAUCUCAAAUGAUGCAGUCUUCAGUAAUUUUAAGUGAUAGUUACAGGCAAAGUGGCGUCACCAACAGGAAAAGCAAGCAGGAUACAGAUAAUUUCCUUACUACACCUGGUUAUCUUCCUGAGUAUGGGUAUGGAAAGUGGCAAGCAGAACGCUUCUUUGAUUCUGGGUUAUCGAUCUGGUGCAUUUGCUUUGUAAGACUGUCAGCCUUUAACAGUGUCGCAGUUAGUAUUUCAUACAUAAGCCUUAUUUUGGCAUGUGAAGCAGUUGAAUACAGUGGAUUUGUGAAUGUUAAAUAUUUGGUAAAAGCCAGCUUGUAAAAGCUGCAGGAAGAUCACUCCAGCCUUCAUCUCUGAUGCAAGAUUUUGGUGAGAUUAAUUAGAAAUGAGGAAGGCUGAAUUUUGAGUGAAAGUUCUCUGACAUUUCAAAUACAGAAGAUACUCAGACAAAUACCAUGAGGGAUUUAUUUAUUGUGUACUUUGUUUCCACCAAUAACUGAUAGGUCACACCUUUACUAACAGACACAGAAACGGACCAUUAUCUUCAAUGGGGAAAGAGACAGUUCCUCUGGGUUACUGAUCAGCUAUAGAGUCCAUGUCGUAAGCCUUUCUAAGCCUUCUCAAUUGCAUUGGCAAGGAAGGAAUUUACUUUUUGUUAAAAAAAUGCUGAUUUGCUAGCUUGGUAAAUUAAAGCCAUUCAUCUGUUACAGCUGCCUGUAACAUAAAUCAAAAGCAUUAUUUAUAUGUAUUAACCUGGGGACCUGACCAGCCGGGGAGAACGCUUUGUAGAGAUGGCAUUUAUCCCUGUAGAAGUCUUCCAUCCAGUCGAAGCAGGCUAUGUUUAGCUCAAGUUAAUAAGAUUUCAAUUUUACCUGAUGCAAAGAGAUUUGGGGAGGGAUGGAGGGAGGUUUGCUGAAGCUACUUCAUUAUGAAUUUCUAAAGAAAGGCAAAUCUGGCCUUUGAGAAAUACAAAAUAUAUGUUUUUUCUU